rnacentral:rRNA from 1 species
CCUACGGGUGGCAGCAGUGAGGAAUAUUGGUCAAUGGACGCAACUCUGAACCAGCCAUGCAGCGUGCAGGAAGACGGCUCUAUGAGUUGUAAACUGCUUUUGUACGAGGGUAAACGCAGAUACGCGUAUCUGUCUGCAAGUAUCGUACGAAUAAGGACCGGCUAACUCCGUGCCAGCAGCCGCGGUAAUACGGAGGAUUCAAGCGUUAUCCGGAUUUAUUGGGUUUAAAGGGUGCGUAGGCGGUCGGUUAAGCGAGAUGUGAAAUCCCGAGGCUCAACGUCGGCAUUGCCGCUGAUACUGUUCGGCUAGAGAGUAGUUGCGGUAGGCGGAAUGUAUGGUGUAGCAGUGAAAUGCUUAGAGAUCAUACAGAACACCGAUUGCGAAGGCAGCUUACC